rnacentral:tRNA from 1 species
GCCAGGGUAGCUCAGUUGGUAGAGCACGUCAUUGGUAAUGACGAGGUCACGGGUUCAAUCCCCGUUCCUGGCUCCA